AUUGAACGCUGGCGGCAGGCCUAACACAUGCAAGUCGAGCGGAUGAGUGGAGCUUGCUCCAUGAUUCAGCGGCGGACGGGUGAGUAAUGCCUAGGAAUCUGCCUGGUAGUGGGGGACAACGUUUCGAAAGGAACGCUAAUACCGCAUACGUCCUACGGGAGAAAGCAGGGGACUUUCGGGCCUUGCGCUAUCAGAUGAGCCUAGGUCGGAUUAGCUAGUUGGUGAGGUAAAGGCUCACCAAGGCGACGAUCCGUAACUGGCCUGAGAGGAUGAUCAGUCACACUGAAACUGAGACACGGUCCAGACUCCUACGGGAGGCAGCAGUGGGGAAUAUUGGACAAUGGGCGAAAGCCUGAUCCAGCCAUGCCGCGUGUGUGAAGAAGGUCUUCGGAUUGUAAAGCACUUUAAGUUGGGAAGAAGGGCAGUAAGUUAAUACCUUGCUGUUUUGACGUUACCGACAGAAUAAGCACCGGCUAACUUCGUGCCAGCCGCCGCGGUAAAAC
rnacentral:rRNA from 1 species